UUGCUCUGGUGUUGGCUACGCUGAGAACAUUCAGUGGAACGUAACCCAGUGGGUGUUUUCAGGAAGCGGAAAGACCGAUUUUGCACCUCAGCUUCAGAGCCUAAAUAAGAAGCGCUUCACAUUGGUGGCCUGGGAUCCUCGAGGAUACGGAGAGUCCAGACCCCCAGAUCGAGAUUUCCCACGGGACUUUUUUGAGAGGGAUGCAAAGGAUGCUGUUGACUUGAUGAAGGCAAUACCAUGUGAGUCUUAGAUAAGGAAGAACUAAAGGACCAAGUAGAAACAGAGCCCAGCUAUCUAACGAUGCUACUGCCAAGACACCAUGGUUCUGCCUUUUCCACCAGUCUCCUGGCAUACGAGACAGAUUUUCAUUGUAUAGUCUUAGCAGGCCUUGAGAUCUCAACCCUUCUGCUUCAGCCUCGUGACAUACUGGGACUGCAGGCCUAUAACACCACACACAACAGAAUACACAGCUUUAUACAGAUGAAACUGGAGUCCUAAGCCAACUCAACUCCCUGGCUUCCACCCAAAACAGCGACAAGAAGGGCUGGUGAAGAGACGGGAAAGCAUUUUGAACACAAUUGCGAUUUGGAGAAGGUGGAAAGUAAGCCCUUUGGUCGGUCUCUCUGGGUACCGACAUGAGCUUUAGGUUUAGGGAGAGCAGGAAUUGGAGCGGUGGCAAGAAGUCUGCAUAGGUAAGCAGUCCUGGUCAAGGUGUGGUCUGGUGUUAUCUCAGUUCUGGUUCUGCAAGGUAGCCUGAGGAAGUCAUGACUCCCCAUGCUCAGGAGUCAUCUCUCGAGGUGAUUUGUCUGUAAGGCUCUGCCGUUCCUGAAAUCCAAGCUGACUUCAGGCUUAGAACAGUAUGCACAAGUCUGGAGCAGGACAUUAAUGAUGGCAACAGUAAGAUGCCACCGCUGCUCUUAUGCUUGUGCCUUCA
rnacentral:lncRNA from 1 species